UACGUAGGGUGCAAGCGUUGUCCGGAAUUAUUGGGCGUAAAGAGCUCGUAGGCGGUUUGUUGCGUCGGCUGUGAAAUCCCGAGGCUCAACCUCGGGUCUGCAGUCGAUACGAGCAAACUAGAGUGUUGCAGGGGAGACUGGAAUUCCUGGUGUAGCGGUGAAAUGCGCAGAUAUCAGGAGGAACACCGGUGGCGAAGGCGGGUCUCUGGGCCGAUACUGACACUGAGAAGCGAAAGCGUGGGGAGCGAACAGG
rnacentral:rRNA from 1 species